UACGUAGGGGGCAAGCGUUGUCCGGAUUUAUUGGGCGUAAAGAGCGUGUAGGCGGCUAGAUAGGUCCGUUGUGAAACUCGAGGCUCAACCUCGAGACGCCGAUGGAAACCAUCCAGCUAGAGUCCGGAAGAGGAGAGUGGAAUUCCCGGUGUAGCGGUGAAAUGCGCAGAUAUCGGGAAGAACACCCGUGGCUAAGGCGGCUCUCUAGUACGGUACUGACGCUGAGACGCGAAAGCGUGGGGAGCGAACAGG
rnacentral:rRNA from 1 species